UGAUAACUCCCAAAGCAUCAGAAUUCUUGC
rnacentral:piRNA from 1 species